rnacentral:tRNA from 2 species
UCGGGAUAGCUCAGUG